GACGAACGCUGGCGGUGUGCUUAACACAUGCAAGUCGAACGGAAAGGCCCUGCUUUUGUGGGGUGCUCGAGUGGCGAACGGGUGAGUAACACGUGAGUAACCUGCCCUUGACUUUGGGAUAACUUCAGGAAACUGGGGCUAAUACCGGAUAGGAGACCCUGCUGCAUGGUAGGGGUUGGAAAGUCUCGGCGGUUGGGGAUGGACUCGCGGCUUAUCAGCUUGUUGGUGGGGGAGUGGCUUACCAAGGCUUUGACGGGUAGCCGGCCUGGGAGGGUGACCGGCCACAUUGGGACUGAGAGACGGCCCAGACUCCUACGGGAGGCAGCAGUGGGGAAUAUUGCACAAUGGGCGGAAGCCUGAUGCGGCAACGCCGCGUUCGGGAUGACGGCCUUCGGGUUGUAAACCGCUUUCGCCUGUGACGAAGCGUGAGUGACGGUAAUGGGUAAAGAAGCACCGGCUAACUACGUG
rnacentral:rRNA from 1 species